rnacentral:rRNA from 1 species
ACGUAGGGUGCGAGCGUUGUCCGGAAUUAUUGGGCGUAAAGAGCUCGUAGGCGGUGUGUCGCGUCGGCCGUGAAAACCUGGGGCUCAACUCUGGGCGUGCGGUCGAUACGGGCAUCACUUGAGUUCGGCAGGGGAGACUGGAAUUCCUGGUGUAGCGGUGAAAUGCGCAGAUAUCAGGAGGAACACCGGUGGCGAAGGCGGGUCUCUGGGCCGAUACUGACGCUGAGGAGCGAAAGCAUGGGUAGCGAACAGGAUUAGAUACCCUGGUAGUCCAUGCCGUAAACGUUGGGCGCUAGGUGUGGGGUCCAUUCCACGGGUUCCGUGCCGCAGCUAACGCAUUAAGCGCCCCGCCUGGGGAGUACGGCCGCAAGGCUA